rnacentral:tRNA from 1 species
CUCUUAGCUCAGGGGAUAGAGCGUCUGCCUCCGGAGCAGAAGGUCGCAGGUUCGAUUCCUGCAGAGGGCGCCA